UCGCAGCCUGCAACCCGGCUGCGUGAAGCUGGAAUCGCUAGUAAUCGCGGAUCAGCAUGCCGCGGUGAAUACGUUCCCGGGCCUUGUACACACCGCCCGUCACACCAUGAGAGUCGGGAACACCCGAAGUCCGUAGCCUAACAGCAAUGGGGGCGCGGCCGAAGGUGGGUUCGAUAAUUGGGGUGAAGUCGUAACAAGGUAAC
rnacentral:rRNA from 1 species